AAGUCGUAACAAGGUUUCCGUAGGUGAACCUGCGGAAGGAUCAUUAGUGAAUUAAACAUGCUUGGUGUCUUCGCUUCGGCAAGGCCCUUGCUUAAAUCACAUCCUAACACCUGUGAACUGUAAGACGUUUGAUGAGGUCUUUGGCCAAGUCAUCGUCUGCCCUUUUUUAACAAACAAUUAAUGUAACAAACGUAGUCUUAUUAUAACCUAAUAAAACUUUCAACAACGGAUCUCUUGGCUCUC
rnacentral:misc_RNA from 1 species